UCCUAUGGGACUGUCCCUCUGUAGUAUGGU
rnacentral:piRNA from 1 species